GACGAACGCUGGCGGCGUGCUUAACACAUGCAAGUCGAACGGUGAUGCUCCAGCUUGCUGGAGUGGAUCAGUGGCGAACGGGUGAGUAACACGUGAGCAACCUGCCCCAGACUCUGGAAUAAGCGCUGGAAACGGCGUCUAAUACUGGAUACGAAACUGGCCCGCAUGGGCAUGGUUUGGAAAGUUUUUCGGUUUGGGAUGGGCUCGCGGCCUAUCAGCUUGUUGGUGAGGUAAUGGCCCACCAAGGCGACGACGGGUAGCCGGCCUGAGAGGGCGACCGGCCACACUGGGACUGAGACACGGCCCAGACUCCUACGGGAGGCAGCAGUGGGGAAUAUUGCACAAUGGGCGAAAGCCUGAUGCAGCGACGCCGCGUGAGGGAUGACGGCCUUCGGGUUGUAAACCUCUUUCAGCAGGGAAGAAGCGAAAGUGACGGUACCUGCAGAAGAAGCACCGGCUAACUACGUG
rnacentral:rRNA from 1 species